rnacentral:ncRNA from 1 species
AAAAACACAGCGAAGAGAAGAGUAAAUCAUUCCACUCCUUCAUUAGAGAGCUUGGUCAGGUGAAAGCAAGCAAGGAAGUGUUGGUUGAAGAUGGUCUCAGAGUGGCUUGUCCGAUGAAUGGUUUCUUAGGGCAGGACGGGAACACCCGUUACAGUGUCUCAGUCUGACUUGCAGCAAUUUGCAAGCGCACUGGCUAAGGCGGAUGCAGCGAUGCUUCCGUGAACUAAGGUGGUAACACGAGAUCGAAUUUUGAGCUCUCGUCCUUAUC